rnacentral:lncRNA from 1 species
UCUCUUCCAUUUCUUUUUCUCUCUCUUAUUCUCCUUGUUUUUUAGAGAGAGAAAUAGGGAAAAACUCAUAUAACUUCCUUCUAGGAGGUGAUUUCUCUCUCUUCUUUCUCUCUUUAAGAGGAUUUAUAACUUCCUCCCUUCUAAGACGUGAUUUCUCUCUCUUUUUUCUCUCUUUAAGAGGAUUUCCUAAUUGUACCUUUCUCUCUCUUGUUGGGUUUUCUCUCUCUAGGAGACUCUGGAAGCUUGCUUUUCCUCGGGAGAAUUCACAUCACAUACAUUGUGUUUUUAGGUUCUCUUUCUUCAUAUCUUCUAAGUGGUGUUUCUCUCUCUAGAUCUCUUGAGCUUAUAUACACCCAAGUUGUGUUUCUCUCUCUAGAUUUCUUGGGCUCUGUUGAGGCAUCCAUGAUGGCAAAGGUUAGAGUUGGUAAGAUGGUUUUUGAGGUUGCACCACCCACUUUUGUGUCAGUGGUUAGAAGGCAAACCCAGAGGAGUUUGGAUACCAUUUUUGAGGAAGAUAGGGUGGACUUUGGUGAGAAUUCACAUUCUCUCUCUAAAAAUUCAUCUUCUCACUCAUCAUUUUCAUCUUCUGUUUCUUCUUCCUCAACUUCUUCAAAGAAAUCAGCAUACAUGGAAGGAGAGAGAAGCUUCAAAUCAUACUGUAGAAAGUGGCCACUCACUCAUUAGUGGAACUUUCAACUGUGUGUUUUUGCUUGCAAUAUGUACACAUGUUGGAAGUAGUAGGAGGAGGUUACAAUUCCUCUCUCUAUUUUUCUUAAGUAAGGUAAACAUCCAUUAGGGAAGGGCAGGGCCCAAAAAAAAAUUUCUUCUUUUUUUCUUGGAACAAGUCAAGACUCUUGAACUUGGAACCUGCAAGGCACAUGAGAGAUUCUCCCUCUCCCUUCCUCCUCCUCUCUCUCUCUCUCUCUCUCUCUCUCUCUCGCGUGUAGCUCCUCCCUCCCUUCCCUACCCUACCUCUCUCUCUCUCUCUCUCUCUCUCUCUCUCUCUCUUGCCUGUGAAAGUGGGUCCUAGAGUUAACCAGUGAUGUUCAUGUAUCAAGGCCAGUUGUGUGGAUGUUGAAAUAGAGGCAACUUGCCUAAGUGGGUCUUCAAGGACUUAAUCCAUGCACAUCUCAACCAGUAAAUUUAUGUACAUCUAUGUGAUGUUUAUGUAUAUAUUUGGCCACAUUUGGGACUUUUGUAAUGCAUAUUACAUUUUUGUAAUGCAAAUUACAUAUUAGUCUCUGUGAAAAGGCUUAGGCCCUGUUUGGAGCUCUGCUCAUUGUUUUACAAUAAUGCCACUUACUUUCUCUCUCCACCCAUCCUCUCUUUCUCUCUCUACCCAUUUCUCGUUCUCUCUCUCUCUACCCUCCCUCACUUUCUCUCUCUACUCUCCCUCAUUCUCUCUCUACCACUACCCAAUU